ensembl:piRNA 21ur-8999 ncRNA
UGUUAGAAGGUUUUUCAAUUG